rnacentral:misc_RNA from 1 species
CGCACCUUGCGCCCUUUGGUAUUCCGAAGGGCACACCUGUUUGAGUGUCGUGAAAUCAUCAACUCUUACUUUCUUAACCGGAGGUCUGAGAUUGGACUUGGAGGCUAUUUUGCUGGUCUCCCUCUCGGGAUCGGCUCCUCUUAAAUGCAUUAGUGCGACUCCUUGCGACGUAACCUUUGGUGUGAUAAUUAUCUACGCUUCGGGGAGUGUUGUGAGACGUGCUUCAAAUCGUCCUCGUCGGGACAAUUCAUGAAACUUGACCUCAAAUCAGGUGGGACUACCCGCUGAACUUAA